rnacentral:rRNA from 2 species
UACGUAGGUGGCAAGCGUUGUCCGGAUUUACUGGGCGUAAAGGGAGCGUAGGUGGAUAUUUAAGUGGGAUGUGAAAUACCCGGGCUUAACCUGGGUGCUGCAUUCCAAACUGGAUAUCUAGAGUGCAGGAGAGGAAAGGAGAAUUCCUAGUGUAGCGGUGAAAUGCGUAGAGAUUAGGAAGAAUACCAGUGGCGAAGGCGCCUUUCUGGACUGUAACUGACACUGAGGCUCGAAAGCGUGGGGAGCAAACAGG